AGCCCACUGCGGGUCCCUCACCCAUUGCAGAAGUGUUGCAAAGGGAGGAAACAGGAGGCCCUGCAGGUCUAAUAGGAUGUUUUUGGGAGUGAAUGGUUACAGCACCCUCCUCCAGACCCCUCUAUGGGGGGGGAAGAAUGUGUUAGAGGCUUUUAGUGAAGGGCCAAGGUGAACCUAGUGGGCUCCUGCCUGGACCAAGCCCUGUCAGAGAAGCCCUGGCUAAGCCCCACUCUCUUUCCUGUGCAGAAUCAAGCUGCCUGAUUGCUCAAACCCCUUCCCUCAUUCAGUUGUAACAACAAAGAACACAGGGAAUCAUUCCUGCUGAGCUGGGCCUGGGCCACUCUAAGCUGAGUUGACCACCCCAUUACCCCAUCUCUCCCACCUCCCCACCCAGUCCUGAGGCUUUGCUUGCUUACUCCUGUGUGGGGUAGUUUUGUAAAGGGCUAAGAUCUAAGCAAGCUGGGGGAAACUCCUGGAAAACCAGCCUGCAUGCAGACAUCUGAGCAAGCACACAUAUGCAGAAGCAGGACACAUGCUCACACACAUGCAGCAAGGCCAUGCACACAUAGAUAUGUGCUGCCAGGGAUAGAGGCAUACACACACAGGCAUGCACUGGUGCUGGAACAUGCACACGUGUGUACAAAGUAACAUGCACAUCAGGCUGAUCCCAUGCAGAGGUACACUUACACACAGGACCACCCGCGCAUCACAGCUGCAUGAAUGCAUCCAGCUUGCCAGCCUGGUGGUGCAGCUCACCCACACAUACAUGUGCAUAGUCUGGCACACGAAGGAAGGGCAGAAUGGCAGAGCUCACUCAUGCACACCCAUGCACACACAUCAGUGGCCUUGAGAAGGUUCACAUUUGCAAACAACACACAGGAGAUGCCCUGUUUCCCAAACAUUGCCUAAGGAGGUGGAUGUACAUUUGUGUACGUGUUGAACUCGUGGCUCACACAGAUGUGCAUGCGAACUAUGAAAGACACAAACCCUGAGGUGCAGAGAGCCCUUGCCUCCCAGUCGAAACCCCCAUUUCCUUCUCCAUCACUCUGUGCACCCCUAAACCUCCAGAGCCCUGGGCCAUCUACCAGGGGGCCACCCUCAGGCCCCCAAACGUGGCUACAGCUGUCUGCGCCUGUGAACCGCCUGGACACACGGUCCAAGAGAGAGCAGAGACAGACCAGCCUUAGACCCACACAACCCUGCCCAGGGCUGGACUGCAGGGCUUCAGGGGGCUCAGUCGAAGCAGGUGGUCACCUCACGAAGAUGCAGACACAAAGCGGGGGUGGACAGUCCCUGAGGUGGCCGUAUCCAUGACUGCCGGGCCGCCCACGCACACACGCUCGCGCGAGGUGACCAGCGCGGAGACGUCUUUGUUCCGGGCCCAGGGUCAGGGGCGGGGAGGGGUCCGAAGCUUUGUUCGAGGCUGGACCCCCCACCCGGUGCCCAGUGGCUGCGUCGCGACUGCAACGCCGAGCACCCGCCCCGCGCGGCACAAAGGCGGCCGGCCCCGCCCGCGCCCACUGUGG